rnacentral:rRNA from 1 species
UGGGGAAUAUUGCACAAUGGGCGCAAGCCUGAUGCAGCCAUGCCGCGUGUAUGAAGAAGGCCUUCGGGUUGUAAAGUACUUUCAGCGAGGAGGAAGGUGUUGUGGUUAAUAACCGCAGCAAUUGACGUUACUCGCAGAAGAAGCACCGGCGUAACUCCGUGCCACAGCCAGCGGUAAUACGGGGGUGCAAGCGUAAUCGGAAUUACUGGGCGUAAAGCGCACGCAGGCGGUCUGUCAAGUCGGAUGUGAAAUCCCCGGGCUCAACCUGGGAACUGCAUCCGAAACUGGCAGGCUAGAGUCUUGUAGAGGGGGUAGAAUUCCAGGUGUAGCGGUGAAAUUGCGUAGAGAUCUGGAGGAAUACCGGUGGCGAAGGC